rnacentral:rRNA from 1 species
UACAGAGGUGGCAAGCGUUGUUCGGAAUUACUGGGCGUAGAGGGCGCGUAGGCGGCUCGACAAGUCCCGCGUGAAAUCCCCCGGCUCAACUGGGGAGCUGCGCGGGAAACUGUCGGACUUGAGUUCGGGAGAGGGAAGCGGAAUUCCGCGUGUAGCGGUGAAAUGCGUAGAUAUCCGGAGGAACACCGGUGGCGAAGGCGGCUUCCUGGACCGACACUGACGCUGAGGCGCGAAAGCUAGGGGAGCAAACGGG